CCACGAGAGCCGGAGGUCAAGGUUGGCAUGAGCGGAAGCCCAAGGGAUAGACUUGUGGGCCAGAGGCUCUGGCAGCGCAGGAAGCCCAGCCCGUGAGGAGGGGCUACAGAGCUGAGCUGCAAGCAUCCCUUAGAGCCGUGGGUUUCCAGUUGCUCAACUGGACCUAGCAGAGCUGCGGCUUCUAGGACCGUAGCCAUCAGCCUCCUGGAAGCAUCUCCAUAUACACUGAAUAAAAGGAAAUGAAAUUGAAAAACACAGCUCCCUGGUGACACUAGCCAUGUUUCAAGACGCUACUGUAUCAUUGCCAACAUCAUGGAAGGUUCUAUGGGGACGGCCGGGCACUAGAAGACUGUGGAGUCCACCUGGGAGGGGGAUGAGCAGCAUUGGAAAAGACAGUGAACAGGGUCCAGGAGCUAGAAGAGGACACAGUCCCGGCCACCUAGAGCUUGGGGACUGGUACGAUCGAAGGGACGUGAGACAAGGACCCCCAUUCAACCGACUGGCUCCAAGCUGAGCCUUGGAGAGGUGGCUGGGGACAGGAGGAAAAGACGGAGCCCCCCGUGCAUUGCCAGGAUUUCUCUUUCCGUAUCCCAGCCUCCCUGCUCCCUGGGGCACACAGGUGGAUGGCGGAGGCAGCCAGUGAAGGCACCAACCGAGGGGCAGAACCUCCACAUGCCAUGGGCGCAGGCCAAAUGGAGAGAGUGAUGGAGAGAGGAAGAAACGCUGGGAGACACAACCUCCAAGUCUCAAGUGGAAACGGGGAGAGAGGCGUCAUGGGAGGGAGCAGCUCUCGAAGUCCCAGCUGGCCCCCCCUAGCUUCGCAAGGACAGCGCUACCUCUCCUCAUCUCUAAGACACCAUCCACCACUGUACGGCGCACUUUUCCGUAUCACUCAGAAAGAGAAACCGCUGGCAAUUAAAUUUGCCGACACGAUAUCGUGAGCUUUUUCGGGCACACAGAGUUUGGGGAACUAUAUGAUGGACAGGCACACGCGCGCCACCCAGCCUCUGCCGCUGACAUGUGGUCCUAUCGCACAUCGGUGCCUCGAGCCAUCCAUCAUUCCACCUUUUUUAAAAAAAAUUAUUAAAUAGUUGAUUGACAAUGCAGUGCCCAUCUUUUUUUUUUUUUUUUUGGAUGCAUUUCAAAGUAGCUCGCAGACAUCAUAAUAGACCCUGGCGUACGUAUCAUUAACUAGAGCUGAAUAUGUGUUCACAGUCCUUUAGUUAGCAGGAAACCUACAAAGAACGCAAAUCUUGAGCAAAAACAUUCACCGAUAUUUGACAAAUGCUUACACCUGUGUAAGCCAAACCCUUUCAAGACACAGAAUCCCAAAAUUUCCUUCCUUCCUGUGCCAGGCAACCCCCACCCCCAGAGAAAACCACUCUUGUGGUUAGUUUUGCCUGUUCUAGAACUUCCUGUAAAUGGACUCGUACAGUCUGUAUUCAACAUGAUACCUUUGAUGUCUUUUGAUAUUCUUUGAUCUUCCGCAUAAGGCCUCUGAGAUCCGGCCAAGUUGUUCUGAGGAUCAGUAAUCCAUUCCUUUUAUCACUGAGUCGUUCCCCAGGGUGUGGGCGUUGCAGGGUUGGUGCCGCCAUUCCUCUGUUGAUUGACACCUGGG
ensembl:lncRNA